GUACACCCUACGGGAGGCAGCAGUGGGGAAUAUUGGACAAUGGGCGCAAGCCUGAUCCAGCCAUGCCGCGUGAGUGAUGAAGGCCCUAGGGUUGUAAAGCUCUUUCACCGGUGAAGAUAAUGACGGUAACCGGAGAAGAAGCCCCGGCUAACUUCGUGCCAGCAGCCGCGGUAAUACGAAGGGGGCUAGCGUUGUUCGGAUUUACUGGGCGUAAAGCGCACGUAGGCGGACUAUUAAGUCAGGGGUGAAAUCCCGGGGCUCAACCCCGGAACUGCCUUUGAUACUGGUAGUCUUGAGUUCGAGAGAGGUGAGUGGAAUUCCGAGUGUAGAGGUGAAAUUCGUAGAUAUUCGGAGGAACACCAGUGGCGAAGGCGGCUCACUGGCUCGAUACUGACGCUGAGGUGCGAAAGCGUGGGGAGCAAACAGGAUUAGAAACCCGUGUAGUCCCAUG
rnacentral:rRNA from 1 species